rnacentral:misc_RNA from 1 species
GUAUUUUGAAUUGUUUAUUCAUAAUAUUUUUCAGACAAAGAGUUAAAAGAUAAAGGUUGAUGUUUGGUCGAUCUCCAAGAAGAAGAUCGACUGACAUUGCACACAAGGUGGAUAUGGAUUUAAAAAGUGCCAUAAAACACUCGUUUGUGAAUGAUCCUUCCGCAGGUUCACCUACGGAAA